rnacentral:ribozyme from 12 species
CCAGCGCCGGAAACCCUGCCAAUCUCGGCAUGGCUUACUAAGAACAGGCACGUAAAAGAAAUGAAAAAAAAUGACUCUAGAAGAAAAUAAAUGGGACUUUUUUGCUUGCUUUCUUU